rnacentral:rRNA from 1 species
AUUGAACGCUGGCGGCAUGCUUUACACAUGCAAGUCGAACGGUAACAGGCCUUCGGGUGCUGACGAGUGGCGAACGGGUGAGUAAUGCAUCGGAACGUACCCAGAGGUGGGGGAUAACGCAGCGAAAGCUGUGCUAAUACCGCAUGUGAUCUGAGGAUGAAAGCGGGGGACCGAGCAGCAAUGUUUGGCCUCGCGCCUUUGGAGCGGCCGAUGCCGGAUUAGCUAGUUGGUGGGGUAAAGGCCUACCAAGGCGACGAUCCGUAGCUGGUCUGAGAGGACGACCAGCCACACUGGGACUGAGACACGGCCCAGACUCCUACGGGAGGCAGCAGUGGGGAAUUUUGGACAAUGGGCGCAAGCCUGAGCCAGCAAUGCCGCGUGCGGGAAGAAGGCCUUCGGGUUGUAAACCGCUUUUGGCAGGAACGAAACGGUGUCCGCUAAUACCGGGCGCUAAUGACGGUACCUGCAGAAUAAGCACCGGCUAACUACGUG